CCCCCCGCCUCCUCCCAAACCCCAAAAUCCCCCGCCAUGGGCGUCCUCCACGUGCGACUAGGAGGUCACGAGCCCUGCGGCGACGGCGAUACACUGUUCCGACGCGAUCCCGGCAGUCGUGAGGCCGACGUCGGCGGCGGGAGACGGCUCCGACGCGAGCCCGGUGGUGAUCGACACGAGAUCGUCGGAGGAGGCUCAGGAGGGGGUGGCCACCACGCCGGCGGUAGCGGUGAUUCGAGGGCGGGAGGCGGCGGAGGCACCCAUAGCGGUGAGCGAGGCCAAGGCCGAAGCAGCAACUGCGGAGGCCCAAGAACUGGAGACGAACCGGCAAGAAUCAACCGCCGCGGCGGAGAGCACGGGAACGAGAGCAGAUUCGUGUCAGGCCCCACGGGCGAUGCAAGAGAUCAAAAGGGAGGGAACAAGCCCUUUGCAGGCAUAAAGAUCCUGCUGCUCGAUUACUCAAUUGCUGAGGACCAGAAUCUACAAGACUAUGAACAUAUGGUGGAAGUGCUUGGAGGUGUACCUUGCAAUCCUGCAGAGUACAGCAGCUCGACUCACAUUGCUGUCAUGGUAUGUAUUGUUUCUAUUAAGUAUUAACAAUUUAACAUCUAUAUUUCUCGAGAGAUCAUACUUGUGCCGCUGUAUGUCCGUGCUACUCUAGAACUUCUCAUCCAAUUCUCUUUCACAUGAGCCAUCAGUUAAGUGUGUAGUAUAUAUAUUAUAUAACAAAAGGCUGCUCUAGCAUCAGUUCAUAUGAGGCCCAUGUAGUAUUGCUGUAUGAACACUAAGAAAUAGACAAGCUGAAAAUUCAGAAUUUCCCUUUCUCUAAAAGUCUGCAGCUUCCAAGUACACACACGCUGCAUAUGUGAACAUGAUAGUCAAAACUGCUGCAGGCAGGACCAAUGAUCCAUGAGGAAUUAUUCAUUGCCUUUUUUACUCCUUACAGUACUGGUCUACCAUGAGUAAUGUAGUGUAGCAUCGAACAUGGCCAAGGAAACAAUGCCUUGGAAACAAAAUUCGUCGAAGACCAAAUGAGUCCACAGGUCCUAUGACAGUGGCAAAACAGUACAUCGACCUUAGCUAGAAUUCAUAGGACAGCGCAUAUUAUAUGAGCAAGUUCAUGUGGGGGGCUUCUUCCCUUUUCAUCGACAAAAACAUUUCUACCCAGGUAUGUUAUAUCCUGUUUUAAAUUUCCAUUUUUCUGCACAAAAGUUAAAUUAAAUCAACGCGAUGUGACUUCACAAUUCGCUAGUAAUAUAAUGUUGUUAAUUUGGAACGUUUUGCAGGGAACAUUCCAGCAGGGGCUCGGCUCAUUUGGGAAAAUGACUUAAAAGAAGUUGCUAAUGCAGACUGGAUCUCCAAAUGUAUGGAAGUAUGGAAAUUGUUGCCUAUAGAAGGAAAAGGCUGUAAUGAUCAGGCAACAAUUUCCAUACUUCCAUAGGCAAAACGUUCAUAGGGAGUUGAGUAUUUUCAUCCAAGGAAAAGGCUGUAAUGAUCAGGCAACAAUUUCCAUACUUCCAUAGGGAAAAUUGUUGUACUAAUUGCUUGGUAGAAAAUACUCAACUCCUCAGAGAAGUUCUUCAACAUCAAUCAUCAGGAAAUGUGUCUCUACAAUCUGCAAGCAAUCGGAAUUCAAUUCCGGAAACAACCUUAGAAGUGGUGUCAAAAGAAGGCUUGUUUUCCAUAGAUACAUGCACUGUGCUUAUGAAUCGGAAGAGGUUGAAUGUUUGUACGACUAUUCACUGAGAUUUAGACUGCAUGAGCUGACGCAAGUUCCUGGAUGCUCUCUGACUUUGAAACUUGCAAAACUGACAACAAAAGUGGUUAUUUUGAGGUGUUAUUCUCAGCUUGCUAAACUGCAUGAAGACGGGUUUUCCUUGGGUGGUUGCUUCACAUUGAGGAAUUUUAUGAUAUUUGCUGAUGAUACAAUCAAAGUUACCAAUCUAGCAGAUGGUGCGAUACUCAGUUUCUCUGAUAGUAACGGAGACCUUGAUUACUGGCAGUUUGUGAAAAUGGUACAAGACGAGGUCUUUUUAAAACAGGCAGUUCCUGAUGAUUUACACGAGUGGCUGAGGAUAGUCUCACGGGGUAUUAAGGCAUGUCACCGUAAUCUUCUAGCUAACCACAUCCAUUUGAUGGAGGCAUUUCAAGGCUAUGGCACAUUUGUCUCAAUGUACCAGCAAUUUCGUACUAUUGAAGGGAGUGAUGGUUGGGCUGAUCUUCUAAAUUCACUUGGCCACUAUUUUUUUGUGAGGAAUCAGCGGGGGGGGGGACUCUCCCCACCUGAAUUUCAUAACUCAAAGAGAAGUUUUACAUAUUCGUGAGUCGCGAGGACAGGUAAUUCCGCCAAGACAUCUAUGAUGGCUUUCUUUAGCCGAUGAGCCCAAAGGGACGAGACAUCUAUGAUGUUCUUUAAAAUUACAUUAGGCGGCAAAAACUGACCACGGAAAACAACACUAUUUCUAGAAUCCCAAAUCAUCCAAAGAAUGGACAGCAGCAUUCCAUGCCAAAUGGAGGACGGCAGAUCAGGAGGCGGAAUGACAGACCAUCGUGAUGAGGAAGCCACGAGCGUGGCACCAAUAGCAGUCCAAACUUGAAGGCUAGUAGAGCAACCGAAGAAAAGAUGAUGGCAUGAUUCAGUGCUGGCAGAACAUCUCGGGCAAGCCUCAUCUGAAAUAAUGUUCUUGCGGAACAGGUUUCUUCGUGUGUUAAGACGAUCCUUGUACAGCAGCCAACCGAAGAUCUUGACUUUAAUUGGAACGUGGCUUGACAAGAUGAUAGACGCAUCAAUGUCCAGCGCACCGGGGCAGAGGAUGCGGUAGGCAUUCUUGGUGGAGAAGGGCUUUCCAUCAAUGAGAGUCCGGGCGUCAGGUACCUGAGAGAGACAAAAAUCCUGCAACAGAGUGGAUAUGGACUGAAGCUCAGAAGCAGCAGCCACUGUGAGUCUAUUCCGCAAGGGUAAAUUUAGACCUUCAUUAAGCGCAACAUUAACUCUUUGGAAGGGAGCAGUACUAUGGGAAAAAAUAGCUGGGUAUAGAACAGACAAAGGCUCGUGAAGAAUCCAUCUAUCUAACCAGAAGGAGGAUUUCCCAUUACCCACAUUGACAGAAGUAAUUGCUCUAAGAAUUGGGAGGUAGUUCUUUAUAAUCACUUUAAGGAGGGAGGUGGCAUUAGAUGCAGCUUCUAACUCACAGGAGGUUUUUGACGCCUAAACCACCAAUAUUUUUAGGUUUUGAAAUUGAGUCCCAUGCCACCAAACAUUGAGAUCCAGAGCACGUAUCGUCUUGAGUCCAAAAGAAAGCACGACGUUCCUUGUCAAAGCACUCGGUGGUCAGCAUGUUUAGGUCAAAGGCUGACAUGCAGUAUGUAGGGAGGCAGUCGAGGACCGAGGAAACCAAGGUCAGGCGACCACCUUUUGAGAGCAAGCAAGCGCGCCAGCCGGAAAGGUAGGAACCGCAUUUGUCAAUAAGUGGAGCGAACGCCGAACUAUGCAGUUUGAGAGGUGAAAGGGGCAAGCCAAGAUAAGUUUGGGGGAAGGAUGAGAUGGAGCAAUUUAGGGAGGUUGCCAUACUUGCAGCUAGGGCAGUCCAAGCCCCUGACGUGUUCUUAUCUCGCGGAGUCAUUUCCCCUCAAUGAAUAUGAAGACAACAUCAAAGGUUUAUUGAGGCUCGUCCGCAAUACUUUCCAGCACAAGGCAAAGAGAUUCCUCAGAUUUUUCCUAUCAUUUAUAAUCAUUGACUUCCCAGGCUUAUUGUCUGAUCUGCAGAGGGCGUUGCAUCUAGGCGGGUACCUCAGUCAUCUGAAUCUUAGGAAUUAGUGUGAGCCUUGCUAUCGAGCAUGUUGUAGUCAGGCUUUAAGAAGGGAGUACAUCUAGUGGAUACGUGAGUCAUCUAACUCUGCUGUACAAAUUUGUGUAAAGUGAGAGGAUUAACUUGUACAAAUUAGGCUAUUAGAAUUGAGCUGUUCAAUUUUCUGGAAACGAGCAUAACAUGCUGUAACUGAUUCCUUGUUAAUAAUGCUGGUUUGUGGCAGCAAAUGUUAGUACGAUUGAAGUUUUUUGGAACAA